UACGGGGGGGGCAAGCGUUGUUCGGAAUUACUGGGCGUAAAGGGCGCGUAGGCGGCCUGCUAAGUCGGACGUGAAAUCCCUCGGCUCAACCGGGGAACUGCGUCCGAUACUGGCGAGGCUUGAAUCCGGGAGAGGGAUGUGGAAUUCCAGGUGUAGCGGUGAAAUGCGUAGAUAUAUGGAGGAACACCGGUGGCGAAGGCGACAUCCUGGACCGGUAUUGACGCUGAGGCGCGAAAGCCAGGGGAGCAAACGGG
rnacentral:rRNA from 1 species